rnacentral:rRNA from 1 species
ACGCUGGCGGCGCGCUUAAUACAUGCAAGUCGAACGAGAAGCCAGAGCUUGCUCUGGUGGAAAGUGGCGAACGGGUGAGUAACACGUGAGAAACCUGCCCCAAAGAUUGGGAUAAGCCUUGGAAACGAGGUCUAAUACCAAAUACCUUCCUUUUAACACAUGUUAAAAAGAAGAAAUGCUCCGGCGCUUUGGGAUGGUCUCGCGAUCUAUCAGCUUGUUGGUGAGGUAACGGCUCACCAAGGCAUCGACGGAUAGCUGGUCUGAGAGGAUGUCCAGCCACAUUGGAACUGAGACACGGUCCAAACUCCUACGGGAGGCAGCAGUAGGGAAUCUUGCACAAUGAGGGAAACCUUGAUGCAGCGACGCCGCGUGCGGGACGAAGGCCCUAGGGUUGUAAACCGCUUUCAGUAGGGACGAAAGUGACGGUACCUACAGAAGAAGCCCCGGCCAACUAUGUG